rnacentral:rRNA from 1 species
UACGUAGGGUCCGAGCGUUGUCCGGAAUUACUGGGCGUAAAGAGCUCGUAGGUGGUUUGUCGCGUUGUUCGUGAAAACUCACAGCUCAACUGUGGGCGUGCGGGCGAUACGGGCAGACUUGAGUACUGCAGGGGAGACUGGAAUUCCUGGUGUAGCGGUGGAAUGCGCAGAUAUCAGGAGGAACACCGGUGGCGAAGGCGGGUCUCUGGGCAGCAACUGACGCUGAGGAGCGAAAGCGUGGGGAGCGAACAGG